GGGGGCCGCCAGUUCGGGCGAUCUUAGCGGAGGAUUACGUAGAAUUAAAUCCUUGGACGGGGGCGUGCCCCCGUAACACUUAAUUUUUCCCCCGAUUUUUUAAUCUCCCGGUAAAUAUCGUCCCAUUCUCUCUCUCUCUCUCUCUCUUCUUUUCUCUCUCCUACAUUCGGCCAUCCGCGCCUUCCCCUCUCUCUCUUCUCUCUCUCUCUCUCUUCUUACCAUCGUCAAAGGAGAGGAACCCAUUUAAAAACCUCAUCAAUGCUUAAGCCCCCCUGCGCUACCAUAGGAACUAAUCCCUCCUAUUUUAACGCAAGAACGAAGGUGAGAGAAGGAGCGCGGAGAAGGAAGGUGGAGGAUGAGGGGAGGGGGAGGGAGGAAGGAGUACGCGCUUUUAAAAGUAAGACUCCGCCUUUAUUAGUAGAUACAACAGUUUUAUUUCCACCGAAAAAAAGGCGAAGGAGGAUAGAGAUAGAGGGAGGAGAAAGGAUUGUUGUCCCUCGUUCAACUUCCAAAGAGGGAGAGAGAAAGAGAGACAGAGAGAGUUCUUUAAACUCUCGAGAACGAGGCCCUCGUCUUCGUGAAACGAGCUUAACCAAUGCUACGACCUUUCAGACACGCCUAAUUGGCAGGCUGGCUGCCUCUGUCAACCGCGCAAAAACUGGUGUAACGCGCCCCCUAUACCUCGAAACUUUAACGAUCGCGUAAUCGACGUAUAUCCUCGUUUCUAUAUUCGCUGCUACGAAUUUUCCGUUCCGUUGUGAUUGAAAUUUUCUUUUUUUUCCUUCUUGCUUUGCUCGGAGGUGUUCUUAAAAUUUGUUCUUAUAAUAGUUUAUUUUUAUUCGUAUCCUGUGGUGAUCGUAAUUAAUAUCUCGAUUAUUAUUAAAAUAUUGAGACAGUGACAUUUGCAGAAAACUUUUAAAUAUAACGAAUAUCUUCGAUUUGCUAAGAGAAAGGAAUUACGAUAUUAUGUGCUCGACGAAAACAAAAGUGCAAGAUAAAAGGAUCAAGAUGGAUAACCACUUCGUAAUGGAAUUAAUAGAAAACACUUUUCACGAGGUUAGGUUAGGUUAGGUUCGGUACCUAGGGGCAACUGUAAUACGCUUUAAACUGUUAAUAGAGUAUCGUGGUACGGUGUUUGGCUGCGGUUGAAUCUCAAGUGUUGGGCUAACAUUCAUGAUGAAAUUAAUCUGGAAGCGGGAGGCCGAUCGUGGGGGUGUAGCCACCGGUUAAAAAGCUUCCGGUGGGCUCCAUCCAUCCCACAGGUUUGCUGCCCCCUUCCUCGUUGACCUCGACCCUUUCCAUUCGGGAUUCGUUCCAACACUCGGCCCUCUGUAUUCACGAAUGCCCGUCUGGAACUCCGACUUUGACCCACCCCUCCCCCCGGAUGACCACUUGUCGACAGUAA